AUUGAAACAGAAAGUGUAAUAUUUUUGAAGCUAUAUAUGCAACACCUAUUGAUCUAUCUUAAUUCUUAAUUGAACAAAACAAAUAGUAAAUGAUAAUAAUAAACACAAUUGUAAAUCACCUUAUUGUCAUUUUUAUUGUUGUUAACUUCAAAAUGGAAUCUCUACAUACAUAAAUUGGGAUGCCAUUUCAAUAUUUAUAAGGAUUUAAGUUAUAUACGCAGAUUUGCUAAGGACAUACGUUGGGGAACUAAUGUUCAACUUGUGCCCAUUUCAUGCAAGAGCUCCAACAAUUUCAAGAUUACCAUAGAAGCUAUCAAAGAGACAUUUGAAAAAGUCCAACAAGAAAAAAUCAAAGUCAAAGGCAUGAUUUUGUCCAACCCUUCUAAUCCAUUAGGCACUAUUUUGGAUAGGGACACACUAAAAAAAAUCUUGACCUUCACUAACGAACAUAACAUCCACCUUUGCGAUGAAAUCUAUGCUGGCACCGUAUUUGAUGCUCCACAAUUCGUUAGCAUCGCUGAAAUUAUGGAUGAAAUUUCAUGUGUUAAUAAAAAAUUGGUACAUAUUGUGUCCAGUGUUUCCAAAGAAGUGGGUUUUCCAGGAUUUCAAGUGGAAAUUGUGUAUUCCUUCAAUGAUGAUGUCGUUAAUUGUGCUAGAAAAAUGUCGAGUUUCAGUCUUGUUUCCUCUUUGACACAACAUUCUCUACCUUCCAUGUUUGGCAAUGGAUUUAUCGAAAAAUUUCUCAUUGAAAAUACUAAGAAUUUAAGGAAAAGGCACGAGAAAUUCACUAGCGAACUUGAAAAAAUCGGAAUCAAAUACUUAAAAAGCAAUGCUGGGGUUUAUUGCUGGGUGGAUUUGAGAACUUUGCUGAAAGAGCCAACACCUGAUGCUGAGGAGUCACUAAGGAAACUGAUCAUAAAUGACGCGAAGCUCAAUAUCUCACCUGGAUCUUCUUUUAGUUGUUCGGAGGCAGGAUGGUUUCGAAUUUGUUUUGCAAAUAUCGAUGAUCAAACUAUGGAGAUCGCCCUCCAAAGAAUUCAAAAGUUUGUUGACUCUAAAAUGUUAUGAGUUUCAAUAUGUUGUCUCCUAAUUAUCUGAGGAGUUGUUAUUAUUAUUAUUAUGAAUAAAGUUGAUGUAUUAUUAUUCACAAGUUUAUCAGUCAAAUUUAUUUUGGUACUAUAUGGUUUUUAAUUAUUAUUUUAUUUUGGUCAAAUAUUGAACUUUUAUUUAAUCAAAAGUGAAUCAUUUACAAAUUGAUAGUUCCACUGAACUCUAGGAACUAGACCUCGGAAAAAAAAAACCUCUUCUGUAUUAAGAAAAUUAUAACAUUUUUGGUAUAGCUUUUAGAUAUCUAGAUUUUUUUUGUUUAAAAUAUCAAAUUAAUGUAAUCUAAUUUAACAUUUAAAAUUAAUCAAUUUGCCUUUCAAAAGACUCAACGAUAAUUAAAAGUGGACGGAGAAAGUACGUAAAAGUAAACGGAGGAAAUAAUAAAUAUUAUAUGAAAAAUGUUGGUGGACUUUCUCAACAAUUUAUCACCUAUCACUUGAAUUGAAAAAUGUUGGGAGUGAUGUCUCUUUCUCAUAUACUCCAUGUUACUAAUUACUUUUCCACUUUUGAAUUGUCACAUCUAUUAAGAAAAUAAUUAUUGACAUAGUGAAUUUACUAUUUUACCUCUUUUAAUUAUGAAGUGGAUGAAUUAAAAAAUUAAUAUUUUCAAAAAGUUCUACCUUUUUCGAAGUAAUUAAUUGAGGGUAUAAUAAAUUAUUUUUUUUGAUCAUUUCUUAAUUUAUCAAAAUGAACAAAUAAUUAAGGAUAACUAUAAAAGAAAAAUGGACAAAGAAAUAGGGACGAGUAUAUUUAAAGCACACAAGAUUCUAUUCAUUCUCUUCUGAAGACUUUUUUGUCCAACGCACGUGCAUCAAAAAUAUUUAUGUAAUUAAAUAGUUUUUCCUUAAUAAAAGGGUUUAUAAACCAAAGAAUUUAUAUAAAAAAAAACAAGAAGAAGAAAAAGUAUCUUGUGCAUGUUAGUGAUUUUUUGGAAUAUAUAUAAUUAAAAUACAAAAAAGUCAAAAUGUAAUUAUAUUAUAUAGUAAUAAAUAUAUCUCGUGUGUUUUCUAAGCUUAUAAGAGGUGACAAUGCCAUAAAUGAGGAGCCUAGUUGAGAGAAAAGACGGUGAGAAAAUCCCUAGAGAUAGAGAUAGGACAUUAAGGGCCCGUUUGGCCAUAGAUUUCCCAAGAAAACUUGGGAAAAAAUUUGGCAAAUAUUGUUUGUCCAUACACUUUCUCAUUAUUUGGCAAAUUUUUUUGGCAAAUAACCCAAAUUCCCAAAUACUAGUUUUUUCUAGUAUUUGGGCCAAAUCUCAUUAUUUCAAAAGAUUUAAAAAUUCAAAUUUAACACUAAACUUUUAUCUUUUACAAAAACACUUUAUUUAUUAACACCAACCAACUCAAUCAAAUCUCCAUCUGCUAACUAACUCAAUUAAUAAAUUUUUCUAUUAUAAAGAGCAUACAUGUACAAGAGCUUUUAUACCCAAAAAAUUAGUUGAACAACUGUAGUAAAAGCUUUGUGGCAAUCCUCUGUGGAGAAACAAAUUGAAGGUAAUUUGUAAAAAUCUACAUACAUUUUCUUACUAUAAUGAUGCUUUUUGAUUUGUUGCGGAAGUCAUGAAUCUUGUUACGCGACAUUUCUAUUUUGCUAUGUAAUACAAGUUUAUGGUUAGUUUUGAUAGUUUUAAAAACUUAUGGGCAUAAGUCAUAUUUCUUAAAAAAUUGAAAUAUAUUUCCCAAAUACUAUGGCCAAACACAUGGUGAAAUUUCACCCAAAUAAUAUUUGCUAAAUAUAUUUGGAAAUCUAUGGCCAAACGCUAGCUAAGAAAGUGGCUAUUGCCAAUUAAAAGUAUAGAAUUCCCACUAGCAAUAGAUACUAGUUUAAUUCGAUUGAAUUAUUAUGCAGGUGAUUGAUCAUGCGAUUUUAUUCCAUGAUAUGAAAAUUAUGGGAAGAAAUCAGCGUUUGGACAUGUGAUUUCACACUGAUUUUAUAUUUGAAAUUUUAAAUUCUCUAAAAGUCAUGAUUUGAGAAUUUCAAAUCAUUAUAUGGUUUUUUCAAAUACAAAAAUAAACCCACCAGUUUAUAUUCUGUUAAAAGUAUCUCACAUAUAAUUUAUAUAUAUCUACUAGCUAUUUGUUUCAUAUGUAAAUAAAAGUUAUAAUUCAUAUCAUUACUAUUUAAAUCGUUUAUAUCUCAUAUAACGAUUAUUCUCUCCAAUAUAAAAUUAUUUUUACUUCAAAUCAAUUCUUAAUUUACCAUUUAUAUUCGCUAAAUUCAUUAUUUUCUAAUCAAAUUUAUUGCUAGUACUUCAUUCAAAUCAAUGUUUAGUAAUAAAAAAAAUUCAUCAUUAUAUUAAGUGGACAAGACUAAUCACCGUGACAUUAAUUACAAAAAUAAUUUCCUUAUCUACUAACAACUUGAACACUAUAACUUAUGUUCAAUUUUUUUUUAUUGAAUUAAGGUUUGAGCAAUAAAUGUGAUUUUAUAAACUUUUGUUUAUUUGGUAAGAUUGUAUAAACAAUUGGAACAAUUUUGAUAGUUUACAACUUGUGGAGUUUUUACGUUAAUGAGAAAAUAUACAACAUAAAAAGUUCAAAUAUGUCCAAACAAAACUUCAACUCCAUCUCAUAAUUUCAUAUUGUAUGGUCUAACGAUCCUAAAUCUCUUACACCAUCUAGUAAUCUCAAAAGGUAGUCAACCGCGAUAUAACUGCCAUCUAGUGAUAAUAUUGUAAUAUUAAUUCUAUCUUUAUUCAUUUUGUGUAAUGAAAAGAACACAAAGUAAAAUAUGUUACAAAGAGAAUAAUUUUUUCAUUUCAAAACAAAAGAAGAGUUUCUUUAGAAUGUGAUGUAAUGGUCUUUAAUGUCAUUAACAUUCACAAUGCGUUAUAAAAAUUAACUCUUGAGUCUACAAUAAUUCAUAUUGAAAAUAUCCUAUAUAAGUAGUGUCUUUUGUGAAAACUACACAACCAACAAAAAGAAGAGAAAAACCUUCUUCUCCUUUUUUUUUUAAAGCUUAUUCUUAGAAUAUUUUUUGGGUAAUUGAUUUUGGGUAACCUCCAAACUUUCAGCCACGAGUGUACGUGUUUGAGAGCAACUAUGGACCUUGGGGAGCGAUCAGCUACAACGAUAUACACUGGAGUCGAGCCGAAAUCGCUUUCAAGGCAGUAGUUUGCCAUGACAUAGUGUUUGUAAUAGGUUAUUUACUACUUUAUAAUUUCAGUCUAAUAUCAAUAUUGUAGUAUUUUUCCCAACAAAUACUUGUGACCUUGUAAAAUAUAUAUUUAUAGUUAAAAAAAGCAUCAAAGGUAAGUAAAAUCCUAUUUAUACUCUAACAAAAAUUAUUCAGAAUUCCGUAUUUGUUUACUGCUAAUAGUUUCAUGUCAAAUUCUCAACAUUAUAGUCUGAAUUAAAUUUAUUGAUCAUGAAAAUAUAAUUAGUGUUCUAGAAACUUCUUGUUUAUUGGCCCUUAGAAUUUGAAGAUCCUUUUAAUUUAAUCUAAUUCAAAACGCUUUAUAGUUAUUAAUCAUACAAAUUGAAUAUAUAGAGAAUUUGAAGAAAAGGAACAACUUAAAUCACAUUAUUAUAUCAUGUAAUUCUAUUCGAUCUUUAUUGGAAAAUUAUCAAAUAACAAUCGAAACAUAUCAAUAUUAUUUUAGGUGAACAUUGUACAUAUGGUGCAUAUGAAGGCAAAUAACAUAAAUGGAUGAUUUAAUCUUUCUAAUUUGAGAGACCUAGGAAGAUGGAGCCAUGCAUUGAGGUUUUGAAGGGAUUAAGUGUUGGGAAAAGUACUACAAUAUUGAUAUUGGAUUGGAAUUGCAAAAUACUCCCUCCGUCCCUUUUUAGUUGUCCACUUUAGAAAUGACACACAGAUUAAGGCAACAAUGAUUAGCACAGUGAAGUUACAAUUUUACCCUUAUGACAACUUUUCACUUCAAAAUUACAACCACUUAUUUGAAUUCAAGUGAAAUAAAUUGGAGGGAAACAACAUACACUUUUACAAUUUUCAAGAAGUGUAAAUAAGGGUAUAAUAGGAAAAAAUUUGUUGUCCUUUCUUGAUUUGUCAAAAUGGACAACUAAAUAGGGACAACCAAAAAAGGAAAUAUGGACAAGUAAAUAGGGACGGAGGGAGUAGUAAACAACUUAUUACAAACACUGUAUCGUGGCAAGUCAUUAGUGGCCUUGAAAGCGAUUUCGGUUCGACUUCGGUGCAAAUUGUUGUAGCCGGUCACUCCCCAAGGUUCCACAGUUACUCUCAAACACGUGCACUCGUGGCUGAAACUUUGGAGGUUGCCCAAAAAAUAUUGUAAGAAUAAUAUAAGAAAAAAAGAGGAAGAAGUUUUUCUCUUCUUUUUGUUUGUGUUGGUGUCUUCUCUUCUUGUUCACAAAAGGCCAUGCUUAUAUAAGAUUUGCAAAGAGGAGUUUGAAGGUGAAGAGUUAAAUUUGUAAAACGUAUUGUGAAUGUUAAUGACAUUAAAGACCAUUAUACCACAUCCUACAGAAACUCUCCUUUUUGUUUUGGAACGGAAGUGUUAUUCUCUUUGUAACGUAUUUUACAAAGAACGGAAAUAUUGUUCUUUGCAUUGUAUUAUUAAAAAAGAAAAUGAGUUUUAAGAGUCGCCACUUAAUUUUUAACGAAAAAUCAAGAAAACUUAUUUUUCAAAAGAUUAAAAACAGAAAAUCUAAUGAAAAUAUUAAAUGGGGUUCGGGGUUCAUAUUAAUGUUCUAGGAAGGAUUUUAAAACACCUAGAAGAUCCGCUAACAUGCGGUUAUCCGAUAAUUAACGAUUUUGAGAAAAUACGCAUACUUGAAUAAAUAGAGAAAGCAAAUAACUUUUGAACUCACUUUUUCUUAGGGGAAAGGGAAUAAAGAUGUUAUUUAAGUAGAAAAUACUAGAUGUUUUAAAGUCAAAUAAAAUAUAUUUAUUUGAUUUUAACAAUUAUGGUUAAAUCAUCAUUUGGGGAAUUGAAUUAAGGAAAAACCUUAGAAUUACCUAACAAAUCAACAAUUAAACAAAUACGAUAACAAAUAAAAUAAAGAGAGAGAGGGCUUGGGCCCAAGUCUUGUUUUAUGUUCGCCUGUAUCAGCACUUGGGCCUUUGGCCCAUUUAAAUCACUGGUACCUGUCAUAAUCUAACAUAAAUGAAUUGUUUUUCUUUUGGGCCUUAGACCCAAUUCUUCCACAUGUCCUAAGAACUAACAAGUGAUAAUAAUAAGGAAAAAUUACAAAAAUCUCACCUUUUAGUUUACUUAUUACCAUUAUCCCCUAUAAGUUUUAUGAAUCUCCAAAAUCCCUCAUUUUCACGCAUCAGAUUAGUGUAUCAUGUAUAAAAUGUACAUCAGAUUAGUAUAGCAUGUAUAAAAUGUAAUGUAUCUUACUUAACGAUUAAUGUAUCUCGUGCAUCAGAUUAAUGUAUCAUCGCUUAUAUUAUUGUAUCCGUUUGAGGGAUUUCUGUAAUUAUAAACUUUUAAGGGAUAGUUUGUAAUUUUGCCUUAAAAAUAUGUGAUUUCUGUAAUUUGCCAUAAUAAUUGCAAAUAAAGGACUUAGCCCAAAAAGUAACAAAUACAAUUUGAAAAUAAAGGGGUGGGCCUUUGGGCCCAAAUUUGCAUGUAUACAGCAUAUACACUAAGUACAUAUUGUUGUAUAGUUGUACAUCAGCUCCAACUCUGUCCAUCAAUCUUUUGGGGGAUCGGUUCUUCGAUUUUUAUGGCUGGCUAACUUUAUAAAGGUGGAGUUUGAGCCUUUACGGCUCUCUCGAAAUGCAAAGGAGGAGGAUGAGCCCGUGAGGACUCGGAGAAAGAUUCCACGUGUUGCAGAGCAACAAAGUAAGGGCAACAAUGAGCAGGGGAGCAGCGAUUUCACACCAAAUAAGACUUCAAAAAUCGAACAAUAAAUUAGAAUAUCCGAACCGACUUCAAACAAAGACCCUUUUAGAAGUUAGAACUAGAAAAUUGUAUUCGAAUUUCUUAAGUGUAAAAAUUGAUUGUUCAAGAAAAACUCCAACCCCUACAAUGGAGAAGAAGAGAGGAUUUAUAGGGGAAAUUCUAGGAUUCUCUUGUGAGUUGUUGUUCAUGCCGUUCGAUUUUGUAAACGUUGGAGAGGACGAAGUUACUUUUCAUUUGGCCGUUGUUGCUGUGACGUUGAUGUUGAAAACGUCUGGCUGGCUUUCUUCUUGAACAAGGAUUGGGCAGAGUCAAGUGGAAGAAGUGGGCUGGAAAAUUUGGUGGGCUGCGUGGAAAAUUGUUGGUGCUGGAUUGGUUGGAAUUGGAUUGGUUUGGGGGAAAGAAAUUGGCUUAAUUGGGCUGAAAAUUGAAAGGGAAAAGGCUCAAAAUUUGGUCCUUUAAGAUGGGUAGAAGAAAGAGGUUAGGUUUGGCCAAAAUUGUAAUAGAAAUUAAUUAACAAUUUAGCCAAACGGAUAAAAAGGGUAAUCAAAAGAAUUAAUCUUCAUAGAUUCAGCUAAAAUUCGAAUAGGAUGAAUUAAUAUAAUUAAUUUAUGAGCUUUUUAAUCUUAACAAAAUAAAAUAAUUAACUUAAUUAUAAACUAAUUAAUUUAAAUACAAACCAAGUAACUCAAAAUUGUACUUAUGAUUUAGACUAAACCAAAUUAAUAAAAUACUUAGCUAAAGAAAAAUAAAAAUAAAAUCUUUUUGGUAUGAUUUUCAAAUAUUUGUAAAAUAUAUUAAAUAUAUGAGUAGAUACAUAAAAACUAAGUACUAUUUAAAGACGACCAUAUCACUUUUAAAACCUUGAAAAAUAUUUGAAUUUUAUAAACUAAUUAAUCCAAAUCAUUUGAUAAUUGAGAAGCUUGAAAAUUAAUUACUAUUGGGGAACGUCAAAAUUGGGUGUCAACAUGCAUUACACAAAAUCAAUAAAGGUGUAAUUAAUUUCACAAUCCCCCACUAAUGCAAAGAUAAAGAGUAAGAACAAAAUUUGGACAAAAGGAAGGAACAUGUACUUAAGUGUCAAUAUCUUUCGAUUUGAAUUAACACAGUGAAAUGAGGCAAUCACUUAAUAUCCACAAAGUGAAGUACUCUUGAACUGAAUGGAUAUGAAUUGAGACCCCCAUAUCACAUCCUAUAUCCUUAAAUUUUAAGCAACCUCCGCGAUACAAACAAAGUGCUUUUAUGGUCAUGCACACACACCUUGGGUCUAAUGAGUGCUCUAGAAAGACGACCUAAGUUUUUCAUAAAAGGAGACCACACCCUUACACUCACGUUGGUGAUUCCAUCAAGUCUAUCUCAAAUAGACCACCUUAAGGCUAUAGAAUCAUUAAGAGAAAAAUAAGCUCAACCUUAUAAAGCACUGCCUCACACCAUAGGGAUAGAAAAUGUGGUGUAUAUUGAGGCCUAGCAGGUCCACCACAUUACAUUAAUCAAUGGGCUUUAGCCCGAUCCACCUCAACGUUUCAAGGAUUAUUUUCCUUGUCAAGCCCUUGGUCAUAAAAUCCAUCAAAUUUCUUACAGACCUUACAUAUUUCAAGGAAAUAACACCCAGUUUCAACAACUAUUUAACCGCACCAUGUUUGAUGCGAAUAUAUCUCCUUUUUCGAUUAUACACACUAUUUUUGGCAAUUUCAAUUGUUGCCUGUGAGUCACAAUGAAGAGAGACUGGUGAAGCUUAUCUUCCCCACAAUGACAUAUCCGCCAAAAGAUUUCUCAUCCACUCAGCUUCUUACCCUGCCAACUUGAGAGCAAUGAAUUCUGAUUCCAUGAUAGAACGUGCUAUACAAAUCUGUUUGGAAGACUUCCAUGAAAUAGCACCUGCACCCAAAGUAAACACAUAGCCAUUGAUGGAGCUAACUUCAUCAUUGUUAGUUACCCAGUUUUCAUCACAACAUGAGAAUUAACAGUUGUAGAUGUAGAAGCAUUAUUUUGCACAUCACUCGGCACACUAUUUUUCAAAGGAAAAAUAGGCUCAAAAAUUUUUGCACCUCUAGAUUUACAAAUAGAAUAAUCAUUUUAGAGACAUUAAUCUAUAUGCAACACUAUUUUGAGUAUAACCAAUAAAGACAUUAUUAGAAGUUUUAGAACCAACAUUUACUCGUUUAAAAUCAGGUAAAUCAACCUUAGCAAAACAUCCCCACACUUUCAGAAAUUUCAAGUUAGGGGCAAACCCUUUCCACAACUCAUAUGAGGUCUUGUCUAACUUCUUAUGAGGGACUCUAUUAAGAAUAUAGCAUGCAGACAAGACUGCUUCUCUCCACAUAUUGUCAGAUAGACCAAAGCUUAAAAGCAUAGAAUUCAUCAUUUCUUUACGGGUUCUAUUUUUCCGUUCGGCUACACCAUUUUGUUAGGGAGUAUAGGGAACACUAACCUCAUGUAUAAUAUCAUUUUUCUCACAAAAAGCUUCUAAAGUUUUAGUACUAUAUAUUCACCGUCCCUUUUAGAUCUAAAUCUCUUAAUUUUUCUGUCUAAUUGGUUUUCCGCUUCUGCUUUGAAUUUCAAAAACAUGCUUUCAGUCUCAUCUUUAGUCUUAAGAAGAUAUACUUUAGUGUAUCUAAAAAAGUCCAGAUAUACCUUAGUGUAUCUAGAAAAGUCAUCAACAAAAGUAAUGUAAUACUUUUUUCCACCUUUGCUAAUAGUAAUCUUGAAAUCUGCUAAAUCUGAAUGUAUUAGUUCAAGUAAUCCAGUCUUUUUACUAAUAACAGAUUUGAAAGGUUUCUUGGCAUGCUUUGCUUCUACACACAUAGGACAUUUAGAAAACUCAUCAGUUUUAUCAUAGGAAUUUAUUCCAUUUUUAUAAGUCUUUUAAUAGAAGCAAUAUUAACAUGAUCUCGUCUACCAUGUCACAAGUUAAUAGACUCAACAAUAUAAGCAGAAUUUGAAGUACUUGCAUUAUUGACAAUCUCUUGAACAAUGUUCAAUACAAAUAAUCCUCCACUAAGAUAUCUAUUAUCAACAAAGUCUCCUUCACGUGAAAUAAUUAUUUUAUCAGCUUCAAAAAUAAGUUUAAGGCCUACUUUAUUGAGAAAUGCUCCGGAAACUAAAUUUCUACAGAGGGAGGGAACUUACAAAAUGUUGUAUUAUAUAAACUGGUUUUUUUGAGCUUGUAGCUCAUUCUUAUUAACAGGUAAAAAAAAAGGGCCAAAAGUGAAAAAAUUCCUAUUUUAUCGGAUAUGUAGUAGUUAUUUCCUUCUUUUUGCUAUUCAUAUUCUCUUUUUUUUCAUAACAAAUUUGUACAGUAAUAUACAAAUAUUAAUUGAUGUAUAUAUAUAUAUAAUCAACUAGUCUAUGCUAAAAAGCACUAAGGAAUCACUUAGAAAGUAUGACCCACGAUGGCUACAUAAUUUAUGGAGACAUUGAGUUGUUAUGAACUCGUCCCCACAUCGAUGUUCAAUACUACUCCCAAAAUACUCAGCUCAUAUGUUUUUUUAAAAAAAACUUUUUCUAUGGUUUGAGAUAAUUACUCAAAAACUAGCUCAAAAGCACUCUUGGAAAUCAGUGUUUCCUCUCUUGUUUAAAUGUGAAAACAUUCACUCUUUGGAAAUACUUAGUUACCAUAUAUUUGAAGAAAUGAACUUCAUUUGUUACUCUUACUUAACUCAAAACUCAAGUCUUAAAACAAGUUUAAAACAUUUGCAAAAGACUUCUUCAAAAGACUAUGAACUUUCUAGACUUGGCUCUUAACUUUCCUUGAAUUUGAAUUUAUGGAUUCAAGGUUAUGAUUCAUGUUUAUGGAUGGUUCUAGGUGUUUAGAAAUCAUUUAGAGUAGUUAGAAUCAAUAGGAAGUGUUAGUACACUUUAGAAGGACUUAAAAGGCUAAACAACCAAAAACGGGUUGGGGUAGACAGACCUGACGCACUGCCAGCGCGCCGCGCCAACCCCCAAAGUUCAGAGACCACUUUUUGGUGCACUUCUGGCGCGUCACCUCAGCCCUCCUAGCGCAACGGGGGCGCGUCACCCCAACCCUCCUGGCGCAACGGGGCCGCGCCACACCAACAUUCCCCUAGGUGAAUCUGAUGAAUUUUUCCUCUCGUUUUCUGAUCUUAAUUCGAUUAAUUGCAAUUCUUUUUCUCAAUAUCUCUUUAGAUUCAAGUACCCAAUACAUACACACAAGAACAUAAUUCAAAGAAACUCUAAUAAUCAACAUUAAACUCUCAAGAACUCCUCAAUCUCAACCCAAAUUCAAGAACGAAAGCAAUUCAAGAACACUCAUUAAGAACAUUCAAACUUCCAAUCUUUUUAGGACGAAUUCACGCUGAAAUAAACAUGUUUGGCACGUGGGUGAACGAACCCAACAUUAUGAAAGUCUCACAUGCCUCGUAGGAUCAAAUCCUUGACGAAAUCCGCAAUCAAUUCCUCACGAAGACGACGAAAUCUUGAGUUUUCCUCUUCUCUUCUCUCUUGAGUUCUUCUCUCAAAAACCCUAACGUUAAUUUCCAAUUGUCUAAACUGAACCAAUUCAGUUUAGACCCCUAAGUAAUUACUUGAAACUAAUUUAAUUAAUUGGGUAGUGAAAAGACCACAAUACCCUUCUAAAAUCUGAUUUUGACUUUCCUUAUCUAAGCAACCCGACUUCAAAUGGGCAUAUCUCCCUUAUACGAACUCAAAAAUGAGCAAACUCGGUGGCGUUGAAAAGAUAAUUUAAAGAUCUUUUCUACGGUAUCUUGUAGAACACCUAACUCAUCAUGAGCUAGGAGUUAUGGUCGUUUGAAGUUGACCCAUCAAAACUUAACAUAACUUAAACAAAUUUCCAGAUUUUUCAUUCUUUCCAAGAACGACUCUUUCUAAUUCUAGCUCUUUCACUUAGCGAGGUGUUACAAUAAUAUUGACAUUUCUCUUUAUCUGUGACAUGAUACGUUUUUCAUCUUUUUUUAAGUAUAUAAAAUAGAGUUUCUGUUUUUGCAUUUUUUAAGUGCAAACUAUUCAUAUGUAUAUAGUAGAACAAAAUAUUCAUUGUGCUGAAGCAAAUGGAAUAAGAGAUCAUAUUUUGAAAUAACAAUAUGUUUUAUUACGUUGACUUUUUUUUUUAUGUUUUAAUUUCCUCUAUCUUUUGUAGGAUUAUUGAUUUUCUAUACAAAUUCUGAUUUUGUAAAAAGAACUUUUGAAUUUCUUUAUUGGGUCUUUAUUAUUAUAUUUGUUUAUUAUGAUUUUUUAAACCCUUAUUAAAUAUUUUUAAAAAUUAUGAAAAUUGAAACAUAAAAAAGUAAUAAAUAAUAUUUAAGAUUAUAAGUUACAAGUGAGAUGGAGAGACAUGAGUUAUAAAUAAUUUAAAAUGCACAAAAUUUUAUUAGAUAUUAAAUGCAUUAAUAAUUAUGCACUGAUUUUAUUUGUAAUACAAAUAAGUGAAAAUAAGGGGUGAAAAUACAAAAAUGAACAAAAAAUAAAAUAAUCGGUGACUGCAUAAAAAUUAUAAAUACAUUUCAAACAAAAAAGAAUAGCAACAAGCACAGAUUGUCGUAUGCAAAAAAACUGAAAUCAUUAAAUUAAUAUUUGAUUUUUUUUAGAUUUUUUUUACAAAUAUAAUAAAAAUGAAACUGAUGAUCAUCAUAAUUUUUUUUUUAAAAAAAUGGGAUAAUUAUAUUAAUUGUGCUUCAUAACAAAAAAAAAUUGAAUAAUAAAGGACCAAAUGAUUAGCAUUGCCAAUCUAUGUAACUAAAUUAUUUAUACAAACCAAAAUUUAAAUAAUUAUAGCAAAAGUAGCGAACUUACUAAUACAAGUCAAAAUAAUACAGUAAUAAAAAAAGUCUAACAAAAAUAAUCUCUGAUUAUGCUUUAUUUUUUCCCUUCUACCUUCUUCCUUUGCAAGUAGAUUUAUCAACAUAUUUUGCUUCAUUUAUCAAACUCUUCAUCAUAUGCUACCAAUUCAAAAAAAAUUAUAUGAAUAAAUAAAUAUCAUAUACCAAUUAAAAAAGUAUUAUAUCAAAAAAAGAAAUUUAUAUUAUAUGUAAUAUAUGUGUAUAUUAUUUUUUCAAUAGUACUAGCAAUAUUAAAUAAAAAUAUCUAUUUAAAUUUAACGAAUAUUAUAAUUAAUCAAACUACAUUAUACCCCAGAAACUGAUUAUUAGAAAGAACAAUCGCAUCGUGACAUCACAUUGUUCAUUAUUAUAAACGUAUUUUUUUUAUACUUGCUGCUUGGUGAAUGAUAAUACAUAUAUAAAUUAAAUAUUAAGAAAGCAUGUACCCACGUACAUAAAAAUAGAAGGAAAGAAUUGAGAAUGAAAUAUUUCAAACCUUCAUGUACUUCUUUUUCGUUACAUGUUAGUUAAUUCACAAUCAAAUAUAAUGAAGAAGAGAAAUGAUAAUCUUGAAUUUGAAUCUUGAUGGAAUUAAAUAUGAAUUUAUACAGGCAAAAUAGAGGAAAUGAAAAGAAAGUCUUGAGAAUGAAAUAUUUCCCGAACUAUUAUAAAUGGUAUGUCAAUACCCUUCGUUAUACUUUAGGGCUAUUCAUACCCUUACCAUUAAUAUUUUAGGUUGUGUAUACCCUUGAGGUUAACGGAGGGACACGUGGCUUCAUCUAAACAAUUCGAAUAAAUUUAUUUUAAUUUUAUCCAUAAAUUAAAAACCUACCCAUAUGACCCGCCCAUGACCCAUUUAUCUUAAGCAAAUUCGAAUAAAUAAUGGCUACAGGAUUUCGUCACUUUUAUUUCCUUCACCAUAUUUUCACCAUUGCUUCCCGGUCGGCUCUGACGCCGUGUGCACCUCAAACCCAGGACUCAACGCCGCCGCCAUCGAUGACAAACAUAUAAUCUUGACCGGCAAUUGAAAAGUCAAUUUUAUAGUGUCGAAGAGAGAUUGAUUAAUCUAGGUUGGAGAUAUUGACUUUGAUGGCAAUGGAGCAUGGGGAAUCGGAGGUGUAAAAGCACCCAAGAUCUCCCCAAGUCCAUGUUGAUUCCAUCUGUGAUCUACAUGAACUAUAUUUCCGGCGAAUACAAGCAAAAAACGUCAGUAGCGAAUCCAAUUCUUAAUUUCUCAUAUAUUUCUGUAAUUUCAUUCAUUCUCCGAUCUUUGUUGUGUAAUCACCAUUCUCCAUCACAUCUAUGUUGAAAUAACAAGUUCCGAUUUGCAAAUGUUAGAGGGAUGAAUUUGCUCACAAAGUUGGUGAAAAAUAAAAAUUGAAAUUCGGUGCAGUAUUCAAUGAAAUUAUUUUAGUGCAUUUGGGUACUUUUGGGUUAUGAUUUGGGUAUGGCCGUAUGGGUUUUAAAUUAUCGGGUCAUGUGGGUUUGAUUAUGGGUGGGUUUUUAAUUUAUGGAUAAAAAUUAAAAUAAAUUUAGUUGAACCGUUUAGAUGAAGCCACGUGUCCUUCCGUUAACCUCAAGGGUAUAAACAACCUAAAAUAUUAACGGUAAGGGUAUGAAUAGCCCUAAAGUAUAACGGAGGGUAUUGACGUACCAUUAUGAUAAUUCGGGGGUAUAUUUAUCCUUUUUCCCUUUUUUUUAUUACAUGUUAGUUCAUUUACAAACCAAUAUGAUAAAGAAGAGAAAUAAUUAUCUUGAAUGUGAAUCUUCAUGAAACUAAAUAUAAAUUUAUAGGCAAAAUAGAGGAUUAUCAUAAGACAUCAUAAACUUACAAAUUUAAGUUUGAAUGUUAUGAACAUAAAAAUUAUGGGAGUGUGGAUAUUAUUAAAAGUAAAAAUUAAAGAGGUCUAAGUCAUAUGUAAUAACUUCUUGUGAAUAAAUAAUAAAUUACUUAAAAUAUAUAUAAAAAAACAUUAUUAUAUUUUUGGUUAAAAGUGAAGCAAACAAAUAAAAAAAGAACGUGAAGAGUUUUUGUCGUAAAUGUUUCUACAUUUAUAAAAUAUUUAUUUGUACUAAAUUAAGUAAUUUAUUUUUACAAAACAAUAAUUAAUUUUAAUUUUAAAAAAGCCAAAAAGGAGAAAAAAGGUUGCCAUGUCACCUUAGUUAUGUUUCCUCUUUAUUAUAUAUAUAUAUAUAUAUAUAUAUAGUUAAUAUGACAUUUGAUUUACAAUUUAAAAACUCACGUUCAAUAAUACAUAUAUAAGUUAUGAGGAUACUUAUAUAUUAUUUUAUGUGAGGUAAAAAAUAACAUAACUUAUAAUAAUAUCUACACAACUAAUACAUGCAUUAUUAAUACAUUUGAUGCUAGCUUUUAAGUAAUUUUUUUUUUUUGCUCUUUAGCUCAAGUACAUUUGAUACAUUAUAUAGCAAACUAAAAUAGCUAUGAAAGCUGUUUUACACCCUAAAAUUGGCUGUUUCUGAAAUUUCCUUUUUGCCUUUUUAAAACACAAAAACAUCACACACUCGGGACCAUCCAUUUUGGAUUGGUAUGACUAAUUACGUAAGUUCAACACGUAGUCACUCAUCAAGUUGGCAGGAAAAACAUAAAUUUGGAGACUUUAGACUGGAUUGUAAAUGUCUCUAGCUUUAUAAUCACGCAAAUAUAUCUAGCUUUAUAAAUUAAUAAAAAAAGAAGACAAAAAACAUAGAUUUGAUUUGGUGGAAGAAUUACUGAUUCCAGAAUAUUCUAUAAUAAUAAUAUUAUUAUUAUUAAUAAUAAUAAUAAUAAUGAUGAUGAUAAUGAUGAUGAUGAUGUUCUUAAAUUAAAGCUUAUUUUCUAGUAAUCAAAUAUUUUUUAAGGAAAAGAUUGAGAACAUAUUGUAAAUUUUUUAAAAGAGGUUUAAAUGUAAGGAAUUUUUAAUGAAAAAAUAAUAAUUAAAUAGAUUAAGUGACUUUGUAAGUAAAAUAUUAUAGUUGAGUGAUUUUUGAAAUAGAAAUCAAAGUUGAGUGACUUUGAAAGUAAAAUCAUUAUAGUUGAGUGAUCAUUCUAGAUAUUAACUCUGUGAACAAUUUAUAAUACCUAGCUAUUGCUUGUAUUGAAACUUGAAAGUAAUAAUUUUGCGAUUAAUUCUUUCGAAUUGACCCUUUUACUCACUCUAAAUCAUAUUAUUUGAUAUUUUCUUACUUUUUUUUAGAAAAAAAAUUCAAAAAUAAGUAAUGUUUUAUGUAAUAAUAAAUAAUUUUGUUUAAAUCCACCUUUAUAUCGCUACUCUCUAUAACCAAAGGAAGAAGAAAAAUGACACAAGACUCAUAUUAGAUAUCCAAUCAUGUAUUAGACACAUGACCUGUUACAUAUUUAAAACCCGACAAUAUAGAUUCGCUUAAACCCUACCUGUGUCGGCUUCUCUUUAGAAGACAUUUUUUCUUCUUCCUACUCAAUAUCGUAUUUAUAUUAUAAUCUGAUUAAAUUUGGAUUAAACAUUCUUUCAACAAAGUCAACUUUAUAUUCUAAAAAAUUCAAACUCAAAACCUCUAAUCAAGGAUGAAUGAUUAUUUAUCACUCCACCAGUGGCGUAGGCACAUGUAUGAACACCCUUCGUCGGAAAAAAAUUCUGCAUAUACAAGUAAAAUGAUUCAUAUUUUGACACCCUUAGCAUAAUAGGUUGUUAUAGUCUAGUGAUUUAAUAUGUUUUGAAUGUGUGUUUAGACAUCUUUAAUGAAUCGAUUGUUUAAUUUUUGAACCCUCUUUGUGAAAUUCCUGAUUCUGCCACUGCACUCACCCAACCCUUAUUGAUAUUGUCCAAGAUUAUAUUACUUAGGCAUGAGCUAGCUAAAAUACUGUUGUGAGUUUGGUUAAAAUCAGUACUCCUUCUAGUUGUGAAUUAUUGAAUUAGGUCACACUCUUCAAGAAAAAUUUUUGAAAGACAUAAAUUAUAGAUAUUUUUCCCUAUUACUUUUUAUUUAAUUCUUUCUAAAAUAUUCUCAUAAAAGAUUUAAGAUAGUUAUACUUCAUUAAAUGGAAGAUAAAUAUGAAAAAAAAUAUAUCAACAAGUCUCUUCAAUUCUGACCAAUUCACUUAUUUUAAAUAAUAACUUUCUUUUCCAAUAAUUUACUUAAUAUCAACUAGAGGGAAUAGUUUUGAUUAAAUGAAGAGAAAAUUAUUUAAAUACAUAACUUAUUUUAUUAUAUUCUUUAAAAUUUCCUAUCAUUUUAAAAAAAUUAAAUUAUUUUGGUAUUAUAAAUAAUAUUAAAUUUAUAAAUUUUAAUACGAUAUUUUAAGAUCUUGUAAAGAGCGGGAAUAUAAAUCAGUAUUUAAUAAUUGAUAAACAUAUUUUUAGGUAGAAGUAGGGAUUUCUAAUUAAUGUGUAAAAAGUUUUUGGGUUUUUGCACAAAAUUUAAUUUUUUUAAUGUGUAUUCAUAGAUCUUUCUUCUCUCUCAGAAAAAUCCUCUCUAUAUUUUCUUCAAAAUCAGUAAUAGUAAAUCGAAGACUAGUUUUUCAGUUGUCUGACUAAAAUCUUUGCAAAUAAAUAUUGCAAGUUUUCACAAUUCUCCUCUUUGAGCUUGAAUGAAAUUUGUAUAUUGUGAUAAUUUUUUGUGGUGGGUUUGGUGAUGAGUGAAAAAUUAGUGGUGGUAUGACUUUUUAAUUUUGAUAAUGACAAUGAAACUCGUGAUUUUGAUGUGGAUGGUGUAUGGUUAUGAUUAUGAUGAAUUUAAAUGAUAGUGAUAUGGUUCCGAUGGUGAAUUUAGAUAAAUUUAUGAUGUUUGUUAUCGAUUUUUAUGAUGGCAAUGGUUGUGGGAAGAUUUCGGUGAUGAAUUUGAUUAUGGGUGGUGAAAUAAUCUAUGGUGGUGGAGAAGUAAAUUUGAUGAUAAUAACAACAAUGGUAGUGAUUUAAUAGUGGAUUUGAUGGUGUAUAAGGAAGAAGAAGAAAUUGGGUGACAUGGAUUUUUUUAAAAAGAAAUUUCUGACGUAAUUAUUGAUGUGGCAAUGACACGGUGAUGACGUGGCACAAGUGUGAAAUACUUUCUCAUCAUGUAACUGCAGGUUGUAUAUGCGUCAGGGGUAAAAUAAAUUCACUUUUAAGUAAUUCAGGUGUGUAAUAGGUUGUCACAAUAGUACUCCCUCCGUCCACUAUUAAUUGUCAUACUUUCCAUUUUAGAAGUCAAACUAUAAAAACUUUGACUAACAUUUUAUGAUAUAUUUUUUCAUCAUAUUGAUAUGUAAAAAAUUGCAAUUUAUAGUACUUUUCAUAUAGUUUUUGACUAUCUAAAUUUUUUGUUUAAAAUAUUGAAUUAAUGUAAUCUAAUUUAACUUUGAAAAUAAGUCAUAACAUUCAAACAUUCAUCAAUAUAUAUUCAUAACAUUCAAACAUUCAUCAUAUAAUACUCAAAACACUUCAAUUACUAAUCUAACUUCAAAUUAACACUUUACUAACUAACAAUCAAUCAAAAUUUUAAAUAAAAUCCUAAAUUCAAAAAUCUUCAAUUCAUAACCUAAUAAUAAUCCUAAUUCAAAUCUUGAAAACCCUAACAAAAAUCCUAAUUCAUUCACUAACUAACAAUGCCCAAUUCAAAAUAUGCCUAAUUUUAAAAUAAAUCCUAAAUUCAAAAAUCUUCAAUUCUAUAUACCUAACUAACAAUAAUCAAAUCAAAUUAAUAAUUGCUUAACCACAACCCAAUAAACUAAAACAAUAAUAUACUAACUAAAAACCAACUAUAAUCACAAGAAUUGAAAAAAACCUACAAUUAAGAACUAACUUAAAAUGAGGAGAGAGGCAGCGGCGGCAGCGACCGGCAAACAGCGAGGGAAGGAGCUGGGGCGGCGUCUUGCGGCGGCGUAUGGAGGUGGCGGCGACGGAAUAGAGUGAAGAGAGAAGGGAGAGAAUAGAGAAGAAGAGAGAGAACAAAACUAGAAAUCCAGAUCUAGUCAAGAUAUUUUAAAAGAAGCGACGGACAACGUCUCUUUGUCCGUCACUUUUCUUAAAUGUUUGACCAAACAUUUUGACUAAAAAGCGAUGGACUUUGAGAUGUUGUCCAUCGCUUCUUUAAAAAAUUAAUUAAACAAUUCAUUAUUAAUUAUAUAUAGUGUUGGCGUAAAAAUCCGCAAAAAAAAAAAAGCGAGAACGGCAUCAUUAAAUAAAAAAUUAUUUUUAUUAAAAAGCGACGGACAAUGUAGCUAAUGACGUCCCUUUUUGGAGCGACGCCGUCCGUCGCUUUUAUGUCCGUCAUUUUUUAGCAGUUUUUUAGUAGUGGUAUUACUCCCUCCGUCCCAUUUUAUAUGACACUUUUCGAAUUUCGAGAUUCAAACAAGUCUAAUUUUGACCAUAAAUUUUUUAUAGAUCGUUUAAACAUUUUGAAUUAUCAAUUGUUGUGACUUAUAGUACUUUUUAUGUAGUUUACAAAUAUAUAAAUUUUAUUCUUUUUUAAAAUGAAGAUUUCAUGCGCAAAUUCCCAAUCAAACUGAAACUGUUUGACUCUCGAAAAACGAAAAAUGUCAUUUGGGAUAGAGGGAGUGGGGUAAAAAAUACUUUCCUAAAAAGAUAAAUAAAAAUUUUACUUAAAUUUUUUUUCUACUUGUGUACCGAAUAUAACAUAAUUAAAAAAUUUAUUUAAAAAAAUUCUUGCGGCGGCAAGUAAAAAAUACUUUCCUAAAAAGAUAUGUAUAUAUAUCUAAAACAAAACGAGAAUUUUUUUUUGAAGCAAAGGGUUAGGUGAAGUGCGGUAGAAUUAUUCUUUAUUAAUAUCUAAAUUAUUAUUUGAAGGGGCUGGGGGAGAAAGAUUAAAUAAAAAUAAAUAAAUACUUUUAUAAAAGAAAUUUAAACAAAAAAAUUAAAAAUGGGUGGGUGGGGUAUUUGUGUAUUAAGAAAGUUAAGGGUGACAUUGGGGAUUUGUGUAUUGAAAUUAAAUAAAUACUAUUAAAUUAUUUAAUUUUUGUCAAGGUGGAAUGUUUUGUCCACUUGGAGUGUGAUGUGAUAAUUUUUUUUAAAAAUAAAAGAGAGUGUAGUACACACCAUGAAGAGAAUGUAAUAAAAGAGAGGAGUGUGUUUAUCAAACUAAUAAGUGAUAGUUUAGUUAUGAAACUCACACUCUCAAUAGUUUAGUUAUGAAACUAAAAAAAAAUAGAUGAUUUAGAUGUGCUUUUGACAUUUAUCUCCGAAAAUCCUUCUAUUGAAUCUUUCAGUAGGAUCACAAAUGAUUUACCAAUUUUUUUUGCGUAAAAUUAUUUGAUAACCAACAAAAUAUAUCUUGAAUAGAUAUGCAAAUUUUAUUUUUUUUAAAAAUUAUUAUGAUUAUGAUAUAUUUUAACUUAGCUUUUAAAUAUGUAAAUUUUAUUUUUUAAAAAUUUCAACAAUUAUGCUUAAACUCACCAUCAAAAUUAAAUUAAUUAACUAUUGUAAUUCAAAGAAUGUUAUGGAGUACUUCUAAAUAGCAAUAGGAUUAAUAUAGCCGGGUUGACGUUACAGUUGGGAGGUCAAAAACACUUAUUUUGAGAAAAAAAAAAAUUUUAUAAAAAAUUUAAGCAUUUGACAAAUGAGUAAAACUACUUUUAAAUGAAAGCAAAACAAUUUUUUUUUUACUAUUGAAAAGAAACUUAACAUUUCUAUUUCUUAAAAAAAAAAAAUAGAAAAUUAUAUUUUCCUCUGACUUAAAAAGGGGUUUUAUCGCUAAAGAGCCGACACUUUCGCUGACGUAACAAGAUUAGAAGCCCACUGGUGACUGGACAAGCUGGACGGUUAAUCUGUUAUCUACAUGUACUUUAAAAAUGAGUAGGCAGUAGAUAAAAUUUUAUCCAGCUCAUUUUCUUAAAAUCCCCGUGUGUAUAUAUAUAUCUUAGCUUUUUCUUCUCAUACCAAAAUACUAUAAUCAUAUUUCACUAUAUUAUCUUAGUCUCUUAAAUAUAUAAUUUUAAUUAAGUAUUAUUAAUACGAUCAUAUAUUUAUAUAAGAGUCUUUUGAAAAUAUAUUACUAUUAUUAAAAUCGGCGAUUUUUUUCACUAAAUCAAACAGAAUCUUCAAAUGCGACAAAGGCAUACUACGUACAUUAUAUACAUGAAGGAAUGUCAGUGCAGAUAAAUCAUACGUAAUAAUACAUAUAAAUCAAACUAGGUCAAAUGAAAAUUUCUAAAUUUCACCUUCUACAUUAAUUACACUAUAAUUAUAUUAAUUACGAUGUAAUUACAUUAUAACAGAGAAACAAGUUAUCGUUAUAACUAUAUUAUUAAAUUACUAUUUCUAAUAAUUAUAAUAAUUCUAAUUACCACAUAAUUUUUUGAACAGGCCCUGAAUAAACUGAAGAGUAUCUUUACGUAAAUAUAUGGCACAUCAAUUUUAUAUUUUUGUAAUUUUUUUUAAUCUAUAUGUAAAUAUAUCAGGUACACUUCACUAAGGAAUCAAAAAAAUUUAGAAAAAGAAUAUUAUUCGUGAUGAGCUGGAGCCAACCAUCUAUUAGUUAAUCAUAUUAAAUUACAGUAGUCAAAAUCGUAAAAACAGUAGUUGAGUAACCGACUUCACAGUCUAAAAAUUUGACUUGCUGACUUUUGUUUCUAUAAAUACUUGCAUAUCAAACACUAGCUAGAUAUAUAGAUACACAUUUAUUUUUUGUUGUUGCUUUUAGUAAGCAUGGGUUCGUUUAUGUCAAAAUUGCAACCUAUUAAAGUGAGUUCGGAGAUCACAAGUAAUGUAGUUUUGUCUAAGCUGGCUACUAACGAACAACAUGGCGAAAAUUCUUUAUAUUUUGAUGGGUGGAAAGCAUACGACAAGGAUCCUUUCCACCCUGUGAAUAACCCGAAUGGAGUUAUUCAAUUGGGUCUCGCUGAAAAUCAGCUUUCGAUUGACAGGAUUGAAGAUUGGAUUAAGAGAAAUCCAAAAGCUUCCAUUUGCACACAUGAAGGGAUUGAAUGUUUCAGGAGGAUCACAAACUUCCAAGACUAUCAUGGCUUGCCUGAAUUCACCACUGUAAGUACAACUUAUGAUUUUGAUACCUCUCAUUCUCUUUCAUUUCCAGGCAUAACUUGUAUCCGCCACCUCACACAUCCACCUUUUAGAUUCUCUCGCGCAGGAGCGAAUCUAUGUGCGUGCAUGGGUGGGGCUAUUACCGCAGCCAGUGACCUCAACUAAAACUUUGUAUAAAUAUGUGUAUAUAUAUUUCACUUGUCAUCCAUAUAUAAUUAACACUGAAUUUUUUACGUUUUGCUUGUGAGCGCGCUUCUGCUCUUCCUUCCUUCCUUUUUUUUUUUCCAUUAAUGUGUGUAAGAAUUCUGUUUUCUUUCUUUCUUUCUUCUUCAUUUGUUAUGAGUACAUAUCUAUUUUAUUAAUUAUUUUUUGGUUGACUUAAUUUUUUAUUAUUUUUAUUGACUUUCUCUUUCAUUAAAUAUUAGUAAUAUUUAAUUGAUAAGAAUGUAUGUCGUGUGUUUAUUCUAUAUCAAUUAUAGAUUAAUAUUAAAUUAUGAAAAUCUCAUUAAUACUAACAAAUAUAUUUUGAUUUUUUUUUUUUAAAUGAAGGAUAUUAUUAUGUUAAAGUUUUUGAAUUUAAAGGUUCUUUCAAUCUUUCAAGUAAAACUAAAUGGAAAGAAUUGGGUUGAAGCUAUAAAAAAAUUUCUCAACUAUAUGAUAUUAGAUAAUUUAUAUAAAUUCAAAUUUUUAACCUGAAAAAAUUCGUGUUUUCUCCUAGAGAAUAAGGUCUUUUAUUCCUAAAAAAGAAUAUCCAAAAAUCAAACUACUUCGACAAAUAUAUUUAAUAUUAGAAUAUCAACAAGAAAACAUUACUGAAUAUCCGCCUCUGCUCUCCUCUGCGCAUUCCAUUUUUACAUUCCUCACUAUUUUUUACACUAAAAUAGUGUAUGAACAAUAUCACAUCAAAUUUAGCAUGACACUAUUUAGUGUGACAUUAUUCAACAAUACCACAUCACUUUUUUAUUAUUUUAUUAUUACUUUUAUUAUAUAUUCUUUUUUUUAAAAAAAAUAAAAAAAAUAUAAUAUUGAGGAAAGAUAAAACUAUUCCUUUUUAAUAGGGCUGUACGUGACCGGAUUGGUUAGAGUUUUUUAAAUAUCAAACUAAAUUAUUUGUGUAAAACAUUUAAAUUUAUAAACCAAACAAAACUAAUGAAAUUCGGGGUUUUUCAACCUCGGGUUGGUUCGGGUUUUUCAAAUACCAAACCAUUGUGUCAAAUUUUUAAAUUUUUAAAUCAAACAAAACUAAUAAACCUCAGAUUUUUUUCAAGUUUUUGGAUUUUUCCGAUAAAGUAUGCAUACAAACAUAUAAUUAACUUGUGCUUCAAAUAUUUCUUUAGUUCAAUCAAAAAUACAACUAUCUAAGGUGUUCUUAAGAAAAUAACACAAAAUAUGAGAUGAGUGAUGACACUAAAAUAUUCAAUAAAAAAUAAUAAUGAAAGUAUCAUAUAAAAUAAAUAUUGCAAAGUCAUAAUGAAAAUGAUCAUAAUUUAAAAAUACUAAAUCAUGCUAAAAUAAGUCUAAUAAGUAUUAGUUACAUGAUUAAACAUUAAAGAAAAAUUAAAAUUAGAUUAUGUAUUUUAAAUGUCUAAACCAAUGUAAAAACGAAAGAACAAAUAUUAACAUUAUUUUCAUUCUUAGUAUUGAAUUAAUUUAUUUUGUUAGCAUAGUAUUGAUUUGAUUUCGAAUUGAUCUUUAUUAGAGUUACUAAUAUCUAUAGACUAUAACCUUUAUUGAAACAUUCAAAAUUCUAAGUCUCAAAAAACUUUUAAAAAUAUGUUAAAAGACAAAAAAUAUAAAUUUUAUAAGUAAUAUUUAGAAAUUAUAUCAAAGUAAAUACUUUUAUGUAUAAAAUAAAUUUUAAAAAUUAUAUAUAUAAUAUCGGGUUGGUGUGAUUUCAGGUUGACUUUUUUUUUAGUUAAAACCAAACCAAUUCAAGUACAGUUGAAUUUUUUUUUCCCAAUACCAAACCAUUAAUCAGUUUUUUCUGCAAUUUGAUGUUAUGAAUUGGAGAUGCCAUAAAUAUUGUGGUUUGAGAGUGGAGGGGGAGAGAAGAGAGAAUUUUUUUUAUCAUACUUAAAUUCUUUUGCUUAAUUAAAAGGACAAAUUUCAAAAUCAUAGAGUUGUACAUGAUGAGCUGGACAGAUCCUAUAGCUUCAAAGUGAAUUUGUUUCAUGCUAAAAUAAUAGGGCCAGCGCUCAAAACAUAUUUAUAAUUAUUCACCUUGACCUUAUUUUAUUUUCUGUUUUUUUUUCAGGGAAUUGCAAAACACAUGGAAAAAACAAGACAUGGUAAGGUUAAUUUUGAUUCAAAACGUAUAGUAAUGGCUGGUGGAGCUACUGGAGCUAACGAGGCUCUCAUCUUUUGUUUGGCUAAUCGUGGCGAUGCUUUUUUAGUCCCCACACCUUAUUACCCAGGGUAUGAAUGAAGUUUAAGUUAUAUAUAUUAACCGUAUAAUUUUUUUUGUAGUUAUUAUAUAUAUUGGGGAAAAUGCAUAAGUUCCCCCCUAGCCUAUAUCCGAAAUCUCAGAGACACACCUAACCUUUACUAAGGUCCUAUUACCCUCCCGAACUUAUUUUUUAAUUAAUUUUUUACCCCUUUUGGGCCUACGUGGCACUAUCCUUGAAAAAAUUGUCAAUGUGGGCUGGGCCCACAAGAUAGUGCCACGUAGGCCGAAAAAGGGUAUAACAUUAUAUAUAAAAUAAGUUCGGGGGGGUAAUAAGACCUUAGUAAAGGUUAGAUGUGUCUUAGGGAUUUCGGGCAUAGGCUAGGGGGUACUCGUGCAUUUUCCCUAUGUAUUGUGUAGAUUACUAAUUCAUAUUUUCAACUUAAUGCAGAUUCAAUAGGGACCUAUGUUGGAGAACUGGUGUACAACUUGUACCCAUUUCAUGCAAUAGCUCUAAUAAUUUCAAAAUUACUCCAGAAGCUCUCAAAGAGGCAUAUGAAAAAGGUCAACAAGAAAAAAUCAAAAUUAAAGGCUUGAUUUUGACCAACCCUUCUAAUCCAUUAGGCACUACUUUGGAUAGGGAUACACUGAAAAAAAUCUUGAUCUUCACUAACGAACAUAACAUCCAUCUUGUUUGUGACGAAAUCUAUGCUGGUACCGUGUUUGAUGCUCCACGAUUCGUCAGCAUCGCUGAAAUCAUUGAGGACGAUGGAAUUUGUGUUAAUAAAAAUUUGAUACAUAUUGUGUCUAGUCUUUCCAAAGACAUGGGUUUUCCAGGAUUUCGAGUGGGAAUUGUGUAUUCCUUCAAUGAUGAUGUGGUUAAUAAUGCUAGAAAAAUGUCGAGCUUCGGUCUUGUUUCUACUCAAACACAAAAUUUUCUAGCUUCCAUGCUAUCUGACGAUGAAUUUAUCGAAGAAUUUCUUACUGAAAACACCAAGAGGUUAAGGAAACGGCACGAGAAAUUCACUAGCGGACUUGAAAAAAUCGGAAUCAGAUGCUUAAAAAGCAAUGCUGGGGUUUAUUGCUGGGUGGAUUUGAGGACUCUAUUGAAAGAGCCAACACUUGAUGCUGAGGUGUCACUAUGGAAAUUGAUCAUAAACAACGCGAAGCUCAACAUCUCGCCUGGAUCUUCAUUUAAUUGCCCCGAAGCAGGGUGGUUCCGAAUCUGUUUUGCGAAUAUCGAUGAUCGAACGGUGGAGAUCGCACUCAAAAGAAUUCAAAUAUUUGUGGAUGCUAAUAACGAUAUUAAUGAAAAUGGAAUCGUGAAGAACGCAUCAGUGAAAGGGAAAUGAUUUACAAAUAUAGACUUCAUGAACGAAAAGUAGUACGUAUAAUAAAAUUAAUAUUAUGAGCUUGAAUAUGUUGUCUCCUAAUUUUCUGAUUGCUAAGGAGAAUAAAGAAGAAAUUGAAGUUUUUUUUUUUUUUUUUUUUUUUUGUUAUAAAAAUUAUAUGAAAAAUGUUCGUACCGUGGCCUUAUUAUGAGUAAUAAUAAUGUUUUUUAUUUGAUCUUUACAAAUGCAUAUUUUUCCCUUGAAAAAAUGACACAAAUAAUUUCUUGUGACAAUUAAUUUUUCUCUAUCUGCUAUUGUUGCAACUUUGUAGUACUUGCUACUUUAUUUUUUAUCACACUCCAAUUAAAGACUAACAAAAUAUAAUGACCAAGUAACAAAUUUAUCACUACUUAUUAGUUACUCUCUCUGUCCACCACUGUUAGUUGUCAUGAUGCGUUUUUCAAAAGUCAAUUUGGCUAAUUUUCAAAGUUAAAUUAGAGUACAUUAGUUCGAUAUUUUAAACAAAAAAUUUAGAUAAUCAAAAACUAGACGAAAAGUACUAUAAAUUGUAUUUUUUUUUUUGCAUAUCAAUAUGAUAAAAAAAUACAUCAUAAAAUAUUAGUCAAAAUUCUUAUAGUUUGAUUCUAAAAAAGGAAAUUAUGACAAUUAAAAGUUGACGGAGGGAGUAUUAAGACUCUUUCUUGGGGAAUAAAUAAUUCAAAAGAUAAGAGUAAAGUUUAGUGGUUUUUGUGUUAGAAAAAACAGUUAAAUGUAUUGAUGAAAAAGAAUAAUCAUAGUUAUGUAAUUAUUUAAAGAAAUUUAAAUUUCAAGAAUCACAACUUCAAAAUACGACCAAACAUAAAACUAACCAUUUCCGUCAUUUUGAGUUUCACUUUCUCAAGCUCCGUCCAGUCUCCGACGACUUCUCCGACGAGUCCCUUGCCACCAUCUGUGUUUAUCUCUCUAUUUCCUUCAUCUUUCUUUUUAUAUUUACAUAUAAAGGUACCUUCAAAAAAGUAGUAGUUCUACUUAACUCCCUUUUUGACAAAACCAAAAAGUAGGGUGAGUAACUUUGCCAAUUGGGAGGAGAAGGUGACAAAAUAUUUAUGUAUUAUUCUAAAUAAUGAAGUCAAGUGGAUGUUCAUGUGGGGCUACUCUACUGUAGCAAAUUUCCUUGCCCAAGUCAUAUAUUACUUUAAAGUUGACACCAAUUUUCAUUUAGACACUUUAAUUAGAUUUUGUUUAUUUUUAGACAUCUUACGUAAAUUUUUCUUGUGUCAUUUUGACACUUUUUAUAGACACGUCAUAGAGAGUGUGAUCCACUCGUUUAUUGUGCUAGAAAAGUUUUUUAAUCAAUUUUUAAUUAUUUUUUCUUCUUCUUCUUCUCCAUUUUCAGCCUCCAUUUUUCAAGCUUAACUCCAUCCAUGGCAAAUGUUUUAAAAAUUUAAGAAAAGACCUAUUUCAAGAUUUAAAUAUUGAAAUAGUCAUGAAAUUCUUUUUUGGAGGAAUUUACUAUUGUAAUAUGGAAGUGGAUGUGAUUUUUCCUCUUCCUUCAAGGUUUCACUGGCCUUCAAACUUUGCUUUCACUGUAAGUGCUUUUUUUUUUUUCCAGUUAAUUUUAAUGAUUUAUAUUCAAUUUUACUGUUUUGUUAUUGAUUAAGAAGAAUGUGAAUUCAUGACUUAGCUUUAUUCUUCUAUAAUAAAAGGGCUAGUGUAUGAUUGAGAAGUGGGGUUGGGGUAGGGCAGCGUUUCUGCAAAAUAGUUAUUUUGGAGAAGACAAUUUAGAAGGUUGCAAAAUAUUUUUUGUUAAUUGGUUAAAUGUUUUUUUAAUUAUGUGGGCAAAAAUGCCACAUGUCAUUGAUUCAUUGGCUACUUUUUAUUUUUCUCAAAAUUCAUUAUUUAAGAAUGAUUUUAGGCACAAAUGACAAAUGUCGUCAUUUAAUUAAAAACUUUACGCGUCAUUCGCGAGUGCAUUACACACACAUUACAUAUUUUUGCUGAUUGUAAAGAAAGUAUCAAAAUGACACAACAUGACCUUACAUGAAGUGUCUAAAAUGAACUUUAUAAAUAAUUCACCCGAUUGUUAUCUAACCACUCAUGUAAUCAGAAUCAUAAAUAAUUCGCCCGAUUGUUACAUGAUUUCCCUUCAACUUAAAGACUCUGAUUUCGUCCAAAUCUUGACAAGGUUGGGAAAAUCCAAAAGAUAUUCAUUGAAAAAGACACUAACAAAAGAUAUUUAGUUUGUGAAUCAUUUACCUUGUUUCCUUGAGAUUCAAGUUUGGCUUGGAGCAAUUCUUCAAAGAAAAGAAUUUCGUCGAUUUUUCGCUGCAAAAGAUAAGGUACACAAUUCGUCGAUUUCUUUCUAUAGAUCCAACAAAUGGCAUUAAAGCCAGGUUUAAUUGUUCCCUGUUUGAAUAAUGAUUGAAAUUCUCUGGUUGAAUGAAUUGAGAAAUUUGAAAUAUGAUUAUAAAUAUAUUUAUCUUUGUCCAUUAUCGAUCUGUUUUCUUUUGGUUACUCGAUAUUCCUUUAUGAGUAGGAAAAAGAGAAAAGAUUUACUGACUUGAGUAUUUUUUCUUCCUUAUGGUUCUUUCAUUGAAUUUUGUUGAAGUUUUGUUUGUUGUUUCUCAUUUUUUUUCCCAUGAAAGUAACGGGAGAAGAUGAGUAAUAUUUAUAAAGAGUUAUUUUAUAGGUUGAAAAGGAAAAAGAUUUUGAGUUGAAUAAGAACUUGAAAAAGUCAACUUCUAUUUUUUUUUUGUUAAUAAAUAAAAAAAAUAAAAAUUGGAAGAGAGUUUAAGGGACAAGUCAUAUUCUUUUUGUUAAGGAUUAAAAGAGAAAAAUAAAAUGGUCUCACAACUUUUUCCAAUUGGAACGUGUGAACCUUUCCCUUCUUUUUUUUUUUGUCCUUUUCUAUAAGGAUUAAAGAGGAAAAAAAUUGUCCCACUAUUUAAAUAAAAAGAAAAAUGGAGUUUCUUUUUGUCCUUUUCUAUUAAGGAUUAAAAAGAAAAAAAAAAUGGUCCAAUUUUUUUUAUAAAAUACUUAUACCAUUUUCUUUGGUAUCAUAAAGAACUAUUUUUUUUUUAAUGAAGAAUAGACAAUGGUUUUGUAGUAUUUUUUUUAUGUUAACAAAGUAUUUAUUUUAUUAUUUACUUUAACAUAAGAUUUUUCAAGUGGUCAAAUUAGAUUGUGGUUGACUUUGAAUUUUUUUUGUAAAGCCAUAAGUUAUCUUCUUUACUUAACGAAGAAUAGUGAUAACUUGUUUUGACUAGAUUAUAAUUUUAAUUAUGUGUAUUAAAAUUGGUCUUGAAAAAAUCUCUUAGUCCUUUAAAUUCCUUAAACGGUUCCUUGUCUCCUACGAGAAAUUUGUGACAUACGUUAUCGCAUUAAAUGGUAUUAACUAUAUUUCCGUUUUUAUUUCCAUUUCAGAUAUGGUUGAACGGAAACAUGCUCAAAUUACUCCAAGUGGGAGUUCUCAAAGUCGAGCAAAGGGACAAGAUAGGAGAGCAAGCCGUCGUAAGACAUGUUUCUGAGGGCGUGAAAUCAUAAGAUUGGUGUCCCAAGGGCGACACAAAAUCUGUCAAGGAACCAAAGGGUCAUUCGAAGGGAAAAAGAGAAAAAAUUUAAAGUGUUUGAGUCAUUGAAGAUGUUCCCUAAUAUGUCAGCACGUGAUUUUAUUCACCUUUUUGAAAUAAAUGAGUUGAACUGGCUGAUUAAAAGGAAAUUUCAGAUUGGAGAGUCUUAGCUUAUUUAACAGACGCUCUCCAUGAACCUUGGGGUAGUAGAUUGACUGAUUUUUAUCAUGACAUUUGGUUUAGGGUUUACAUUUGUUGUCUUGAAGACUUGUGGGAGGAUUUCAGUCUUUGAAUUACUUGUAAAUUUUUAUUGCUUAUUUGUUUUUCAAGAUAUGAAUUAUGUAGUUUGUUUUCUCUCAAAUUAUGUUAUUAGACUUAAAAAUUCUUGUUAUCAAAGUCUUCAAUAUAUUAAUUAUACACAUUAAGAAAUUAGAUUUGAAUUUUGAUUAAAUAUUUAGUUUGUAGAUGAUUAUUGGAUGCAUACGUGUCUUUUUGAUUUUACAUUAAAUAUGAAAUCUUUAUGAGAAUUAAUUUGCUUGAAUGUGUAUGUCGCAUGCAUAAUUGAUUAAAAUUCUUGCCUAAUUAUAUGUCAAUAACAGACAUGGCAUCAAAAAGAAUCAUUGCUGACUUAAACAAAGGUGAAAAAUUUAACGGUGGUAAUUACGACAUCUGGAGUCGUAAAAUAUGACAUGUACUGGAAGAGAUUUUUUUUUGGAAGGUAUAAAUCAUGUUUUGAAUCAACCAGAAGAGGGUAAUACUACACAACACAAAAGGGAUCUUGAAGCUUACAAAGCUUGGAAAAAGGCUAACUCUACUGCACGUGGAAUAAUAGUUAGUUCUAUAGUUGAUGACCUCAUACAUGAAUGUGAGAAAUUCCCUACUGCUCAUGCUAUGUGGACAUAUCUGCGAGGAAUGUAUGGGGGUACGUCUGUAACCCACCUCCGACAGUUGACUAUCAAAUUUGACACUUACAAAAAGUGUCAUGAUCAGAAUAUCAAACAACACCUUAGGGUGAUGUCAAACAUGAUAGCUCAACUCAAGAGUGUUGGUCAUGUUCUUUCAGAUGAACAACAAGUUCAGGCAGUGAUUCGGUCUCUUCCCAAUAAUUGGGAAUAUUUGAAGGUUAACUUGACCCAUAAUGAUAGCAUCAAAACUUUUUCCGAUGUUGCAUGCCAUGUUGAACUAGAAGAUAAGCGCCUUGGUGCUGCUAAAACUGUUUCUAAUGCCUUUGUGGCAGAGUCAAGUGGUACAAAAUCUUCAGGUUUCAAGCGCAAGAAAAAUUGGAAAAGACAAAGACACUGGAGAAAGACCCUCUAAGAAAAAGAAGAAAAACUCCAAGAAAGGAAAACGGUUUUUCAAGAAGAAAGACAAGAGUAAAAUGAAGUGCUACAAUUGCCAAGAAUUGGGGCAUUUUUCUCGUGAAUGUAUUGAGCCCAAAAAGGUAGCAUUUUUAAACGCAUCUCUAAGUGCUACAUAUGUUUUAGCACUUCUUUACUAACUGAAUCUUAUCCUAUGUGGAUUGUAGACUCAGGAUCCACCGACCACGUGAGUCGAGAUAGAGAGACGUUUGUGGAGUUUCAUCGAGUUUCAUCUAAAUCAAGGUGGAUCUAUGUGAGAAAUAAUGCUAAACUAGAAGUCAAAGGGAUAUGCGCAUGCAAAGUAAACUUGUGUGGUGGCCGUUCUUUGAUGUUGCAUGACAUCCUAUAUGCACCAAAGAUUCGACGAAACUUAGUAUUUAUGGUUGUUCUUUCAGACGUUGGUUUUUAUUUAUUUUUUAGUCACAAUGGUAUUAGAAUAACUCUAGAUAAUGUUUUAUAUGGUUUUGGACUUUGUUAUGACCAUUUUAUCGUAUUAGAUUGUAAUCAUUCAACUUAUGACUAUUAUGUUGACCGUUGUGUAAUGACAUGUUAUUCGAGUAACAAUGAUGUUGAUGCUAUUACAUGGCAUGCACGAUUAGGUCACAUAAGGCAAGAUCGAAUGAAUAAGUUGGCAAAAGAAGGGCAUUUAGGCUCUUUCACCAAAAUUGAAAUGCCAACUUGUGAAAAUUGUCUUGCUGGAAAGAUUAAACCAUUUGGGAAGGCUAAGAGAGCUGAGUUCCCACUUCAAUUAAUUCAUUCUGAUAUUUGUGGUCCAAUGUAAGGGCGAGGUCUGGUGCUACAUACUUAAUUACAUUUUUUGAUGAUUUCACAUGUUUUGGUUAUCUCUAUUUGAUUUAUCAUAAAUCUGAAGCACUUGAGUGCUUUAAAAGAUAUAUGAAUGAAGUUGAAAAUCAAUUAUAUAAAAGCAUAAAAGUUUUAAUAACCGAUCGAGGACGUGAAUAUUUGUCAAAACAGAUUGAAGAAUUAUGUACUGAAAAGGGUAUUAUCAGACAGUUAACUACUCCUUAUACACCUCCACAAAAUGGUAUAGCUGAAAAAAGGAAUAUAACAUUAUUAGACAUGACAAGAUUAAUGAUGGCGCAGGCAAAUUUGCCUAUCUCUUUCUGGAGAGAUGCAUUAUUGACUGCUGCUUACAUUUUGAACAAAGUGCCUUCUAAAUCAGUGUCUUCCACUCCUUAUGAACUUUGAACUGGUCAUAAAACAAACCUAAAUGAUCUACGACCGUGGGGUUGUGCAGCAUACAUUAAAGAUCGUUUUGGUGAGUUUGGUAAACAAAGUCCAAAAGGAAAGAAAUGUAUCUUUAUAAGGCACUCUGAACGCUCCAAAAGGUAUGUGUUCAUCGAUGAACUGGAGGAUAGAAGUAUUACUGAAAUUGUAUCACGAGAUGUCAGAUUUUUGGAAAAUGAUUUUCCCAAAAAGGGUGAAAUAGAUGAAGUUGAGCCUCUGUACGAAAUGUUGAAUUCAGAAGAUCAGAUAAUGUUGUCAAACAUACUUGAUAAUUCAAUGGAUCAAGAAAUGAUUCCUAGUCCAAGUGGGAGUUAUGAAUCCCAAAAUCCUAUAGAGAAUUCUGAACUUCAUAUACGUAAAAGUACAAGAAAAGGUGUACCUAAACGAUCUUAUGAUAUUGAGGAUUAUGUUUUCUUGGUAUCUCCUACAGAAUUGGAUGAACCUAAUUCUGUAACAGAUGCCUUAUCAAGCCCUGAAAGAGAUGAAUGGUUAAAAGUGAUGAAAGAAGAAUUAGAGUCCAUGAAAAUCAACAAAGUCUGGGAUCUAGUUGACCUUCCUAAAGAACGUAAAGCUAUUGGGAAUAAAUGGAUUCUUCAAGUUAAACGUAAAUUUUAUGGGUCAAUAGAAAGACACAAAGCACGAUUGGUUGCAAAAGGUUUUACUCAAGAAGGUGGAAUAGACUAUGAGGAAACUUUUUCACCAGUUGUGAAGUUUACAUCCAUACAAUUACUUUUAGCUAUUGUUGCACAUUUAGAUCUAGAAUUACACAAAAUGGAUGUGAAGACCGCUUUUCUCAAUGGAGAAUUAAACGAGGAAAUCUACAUGGAACAACCAGUUGGUUUCGUUGUUAAAGGUCAAGAAAAGAAAGUAUGUAAAUUGAAAAGAUCAAUUUAUUGCCUAAAGCAAUCUUCAUGGCAGUGGUAUCUGAGAUUUCAUAAGGAGGUGAUGUCAUUUGAUUUCACCAUGAUCGAUGAAGACCAUUAUAUCUAUGUGAAAAAUUCCAAUCGAAAUUUUAUAAUUCUUUCUCUUUACGUAGAUGAUAUUUUAUUAGCUGGAAAUAAUUUGGAGUAUGUGAAAACUGUCAAGUCAUAGAUUUCAAAAUCAUUUGAUAUGAAAGAUAUUGGUGAAACAGACUAUAUAUUGGGUGUUACGAUCCAAAGAGAUCGUUCCAAGAAAUUUUUGAGUUUAUCUCAAGAAACUUAUAUAAAGAAAAUAUUGGAACAUUUUUGAAUGAAUAGUUGCAAAUCCAUGGAUACUCUUGUAGCAAGGGGUGAAACUUUAAGCCUUGAAAUGUGUUCAAAGACUGAAAAAGAAAAGGAAGACACACUACUAAAAUACUGCCAAAGAGAGAUAGAAAAAAGCGACGGACUGCGUCGCUUUUUUGGCCAAAAGCAACGGAAAAGCGACGCAGUCAAUCUCGUUGUUUUUUGGCUCGACGCUUUCCGUCGCUUUUGAUUUUUUUAAAUUUUUUUUAUUUAUUUGAAAAAUGUGACGUCAUCCGUUGCUUUUUUUUAUUAUUUAUUUUUAAAAAAGAGACGAAGUCCGUCGCUUUAAUUAAUUUUUAAUAUUUUUAGAAUCUUGAAAGGCGACAAUGAGACGCCGUCCGUCGCUUUUUCGGAAAUAAAAUUUUGAAAAAUCCAAAAAAGUGACGAACUAAAUGACCCUGUCCGUCGCUUUUCUGGGUUUUAAAAAAAAUAAAAUUAAAAAAAGCGACGGACUAAAGGAACCCUGUCUGUCGCUUUUCUGAGUUUUUUAAAAAUUAAAAUACCAGAAAAGACGACGGACAAAACCACUCUGUCCGUCGCUUUUUUUGCAAUUUUUUUGACAGCAGAAACUGGCCUACCCACUUGCAAUUCAAUUCAAUUCAACUCAACCCUAAUCAAACACAAUACAUUAUUAAGAAGCUACACAAGAUAUAAAACAACAAACUUAAAUUAACAUUCAAAAAUAUCUAAAUCACAAUUUAAAGACUUAUAAAGUCUUUCAAAAUUCGUUUCAAAAUUACAAAUAGUUCAUAAAGACUAUAUUUUAUCAAAAUUUCUAAAGUUCAACCUAAUAAUUAGUUCAUAAAUUUUAUAAAUCAAGAUUUCUAAAGUUCACAACCUAAAGUUUAAAAUCCUACAAUAAUCAAAUUUUCUAAAGUUCACAACUUAAAGUUCUAAAAUUUCCACAAUAAUUCAAGAUUUAUAAAGUUCACAACCUAAAGUUCUAAAAAUCCUACAAUAAUUCAAGAUUUCUAAAGUUCACAACCUAAAGCUCUAAAAUCCUACAAAAUUCAAAUUCUCUAAAAUUCACAACUUAAAGUUCUAUAAUUCUACAAUAAUUCAAGACUUCUAACAUUUCACAACCUAAAGUUCCUACAAAAAAUCAAGUUCUCUAAAGUUCUAAAUUCCUACAAUAAUUCAAGAUUUCUAAAGUUCACAACCUAAAGUUCUAAAAUCCUAAAAUAAUUCAAGAUUUCUAAAGUUCACAACCUAAAGUUCUAAAAUCCUAAAAUAAUUCANNNNNNNNNNNNNNNNNNNNNNNNNNNNNNNNNNNNNNNNNNNNNNNNNNNNNNNNNNNNNNNNNNNNNNNNNNNNNNNNNNNNNNNNNNNNNNNNNNNNNNNNNNNNNNNNNNNNNNNNNNNNNNNNNNNNNNNNNNNNNNNNNNNNNNNNNNNNNGUUCUCUAAAAUUCACAACUUAAAGUUCUAAAGUUCUAAAAUUUUAUAAUUAUUCAGGAUUUCUAACGUUUCAUAACCUAAAGUUCGUACAAAAAUUGAAGUUCUCUAAAGUUCACAACUUACAGUUCUAAAAUCCUACAAAAAUUCAAGUUCUAUAAUGUUCACAACUUAAAGUUCUAAAAUCCUACAAUAAUUCAAGAUUUCUAAAGUUCACAACCUAAAGUUCUAAAAUCCUAAAAUAAUUCCAGAUUUCUAAAGUUCACAACCUAAAGUUCUAAAAUCCUAAAAUAAUUCCAGAUUUGGUUUCUAAAGUUCUAAAAUCCUACAAUAAUUCAAAUUCUCUAAAGUUCACAACUUAAAGUUCUAAAAUCCUACAAUAAUUCAAAAUUUCUAAAGUUCACAACCUAAAGUUCUAAAAUCCUAAAAUAAUUCCAGAUUUCUAAAGUUCACAACCUAAAGUUCUAAAAUCCUAAAAUAAUUCCAGAUUUCUAAAGUUCACAACCUAAAGUUCUAAAAUCCUAAAAUAAUUCCAGAUUUCUAAAGUUCACAACCUAAAGUUCUAAAAUCCUAAAAUAAUUCCAGAUUUCUAAAGUUCACAACCUAAAGUUCUAAAAUCCUAAAAUAAUUCCAGAUUUCUAAAGUUCACAACCUAAAGUUCUAAAAUCCUAAAAUAAUUCCAGAUUUCUAAAGUUCACAACCUAAAGUUUAAAAUCCUACAAUAAUNNNNNNNNNNNNNNNNNNNNNNNNNNNNNNNNNNNNNNNNNNNNNNNNNNNNNNNNNNNNNNNNNNNNNNNNNNNNNNNNNNNNNNNNNNNNNNNNNNNNNNNNNNNNNNNNNNNNNNNNNNNNNNNNNNNNNUAAUUAAUUAGUUAUAUUCAAGUUCCAAGUUUAAGUUCAACUUCAAGUUCUAAAUUCAAGUUCAUAUCUAGUUAUAUAUAAACUUCUAAUCCAACAAUUAGUUAUAUAUUCAAGUUCUAAUUCAAAAAAAACCUCAUCGAUCAAUAUAUAUUCAUGACAUUCAAACAUUCAGCACUAUAUUGUCAUGACAUUCAAACAUUCAUCAUAUACACUUCAAUUACUAAUUUCUAACUUCAAAGUAACACUUUACUAACUAACAAUAUAUCAAUCAAAUUUAAAAAAAAUCUCAAUUCACAAUCAAAUUACAUAUUCUCAAGUUCAAACUAGUCCUAAAUUCAAAAAACCCUAAUUCAUUCACUAAUUACAAUACCCAAUUUAAAAAUGCCCAAUUUAAAAGAAAAUCCUAAAAUAAAAAAUCUCCAAUUCUCUACCUAACUAACAAUAAUCAAAUCAAAUUAACAAUAGCACAACCCAACAUACUAAAACAAUAAUAUACUAACUAACAAUCAACUAUAAUCACUAGAGUUGAAAAAAAAACAACCUAAAAUUAAACACCAACCUUAACAAAGAAGAGAGGCGACGGACGGCGACGGGCAAGGGCAGCACGACGGCGGUGGAGGCAGCAGGCGGUGGAGGGAGAUCGAUAGAGAGAAGGGAGAGAAUAAAAGUGAAGAGAGAAGAAGAGAGAAGAAAAUAAGACAAUCCCGAUCUGGGUCAAAGAUAAUUUAAGAAAAGCGACAGACAACGUCUCUUUGUCCGUCCCUUUUUUAAAAAUACUUGACCAAAAUUUUGACCAAAAAAGUGACAGACUAAGAGAUGCUGUCCGUCGCUUUUCAUAAAUGUUUGACCAGUCAUGUUGACCAAAAAGCGACGGACUUAGAGAUGAUGUUCGUCGCUCCUUUAAAAAAAUAAUUAAUCAAUUAAUUAUUAAUUAUAUAUUUAUUUGACGCAAAAAUCCGCAAAAAAAAAGUGACGGACUAAGAGAUGCUGUCCGUCGUUUUUUGAAAAAUAAUUUAAAAAAUAAUUAUUUUUAUUAAAAAGCGACGGACAUGUGGUAAAUGGCGUCUCUUUUCUGUCCGUCGUUUUUUAGCAGUUUUUUAGUAGUGACAUGUCUCGAGUUCCUUUUUCUAGUGUUGUCGGGAGUUUGAUGUAUGCUAUGAUGUGUACUCGCCUAGACAUUUGUUAUGUCGUGAGUCUAGUUAGCAGGUAUCAAUCCAAUCCUGGAAGAGAUCAUUGAAAAGUAGUAAAGAGAAUAUUUCGAUACCUAAAGGAAACUACAGAUCAUACACAAUGUUAUAGUGGAUAUGAUUUAUUCGUAAGAGGUUAUACAAAUGCUGAUUGAGCUGGUUACCGGGAUGAUAGAAAAUCAACAUCCGGUUAUGCUUUCUUACUAAAUUGUGGUGCUAUUUCAUGGAAAAGUAAGAAGCAAACUUGCACAACUCUUUCAACCAUGGAAUCUGAAUUUGUGGCAUAUGCGUCUGCAGUACAAUAAGUUGUUCGGUUAAAGAGAUUCUUUGAGCAUUUGAGUAUUGCAAAGAAUUCUAAGGGUCCCAUGAUUCUAUAUUGUGAUAGUCAAGCGGCUAUCGCAUAUGCAAAGGAUCCUAAGUAUCACAUCAAGACCAAACACAUUGACAUCAAGUAUAACUUUGUGAAAGACGUAGUGACAAGUGGAGAAAUAACUUUGCAAUACAUUCCUACACGUGAAAUGAUAACUGAUCCUUUUACGAAGGCCAUCUCUAGAGACUUGUUUGAAAAACAUGUUAAGGCUCUAGGUUUACGUAGAGUAUGAUGAUAUUUCUAUAUUGUAAAAUGACUUGAUUGUUAUUGUUAUGUUGUAAUUUUACUAUCUUUAUAAAAAUCACUUUUUGAAAUGUUCUAAGUAUAAAACAUUUUAAGAAAAUACUUAGAAAAGAGUCGCUACUUAAUUUUUAAGGAAAUUAAGAAAACUUAUAAUUUUCAAAGAUUUAAACAGAAAAAUCAUUUGAAAUUAUCAAAGAGGGUUCGGGGUUCAAUUUACACUUUGAGAAGGGUUUAAGCAUUCGAAGUGUCCGCUAACAUGCGGUUGACCUGCGACUUGACUAAAAUAUAUUUUUUGACUAUUUUUAGAAAAUGAUUUAACAUAAAAAAAUAAUAAUUUAAUAUUUUAUUAACUUUGAGAAAAUAAUUAAAUAAAUGACACUUUUUAUUUUUAUUUUUUAGAGAAAAGGAUUCAAAAUGAAACAUUUGACUCGAAAUAUAAGUGAUUAGAAUAUUAAUAAAACUAGAUUAAUUAGAAUUCAUUUAAUUCAUUUUUAAAAUAAUAAUUUAAACCAAUUUAGUCAAUUAAAACAUGGGAACUAUUUUAAAUUAAUUGAAGAUUAAGUAAAAGUUUUCAAUAAAAGUACAAGGGUUGAUAAAAAAAAAGGGAAAACUUAAUUGAAAUAAACUUAACAUAAACAAUAUGGUUCAUCUUUUGGGGAUUUUAAUUAAAUUAAUCCAAGCCAAAUAAAAGGGUUGAAAUUAAUACAAAUAAUAAUAAGAGUAAAAUAAGAAAGUUAGAAUGUGGGCCUUUUUGCCCAAAUUUCCAGAUUUGGUGGGCCUUCUGGCCCAUUUUUGCUUGGACCUGUCAUGCAAAAGAUGGGCUUUGGCCCAUUUCUUCCCCCUGAAAACCAGCAUAUACAAUGAGUGUAUAUUUAUGUAUACAGGCUGUAUUUUAGCCGAUUUUCUGUAUCUUAGGCUGUAUACCGAAUGUAUGCAGCCCACUUCAACUUUCAGCACCUGUAUUUUUAUUUUUGGACCUGUAUAUCAAUAUUCCUCAUGUAUACCAGUGUAUACUACUGUAUAUGACAGGUAUACAACCCAUUUUCGGACUUUCCGGGGCAUGUUUCAGCUUCUCUUUCAACGCAAAUAUGAGGAUGACUCGGAACGACUCAAGGAUAUGCAAGAUAUGAGUCCAAAGUGAACUCGGAUUGACAAUUCAUGCAAUGAAAACAAAGAAUAAGGAUUAGCAUAUGUAUAAUGCGGGAUAAAGAUGAGAAAAACGCAAGUUGUUUUAACUUAUAAAACCAACUUAGUUGAAAGUAAUUACAUUGUCAUUAUCACUCAUUCCAUAUAUCACAAAUAGCUUUCUCAAAUCUGGAUAUAAACCCAUAACAUUAAUAUGAAAAUCACUAGAUCUCUUAAUGCUAAACUAAGACCAAAUAGAAUAAAAUAAGAAAGAUAAAAUUUUAAACUCAUGUAGAUAAACCCUCAAAAUAAAUGGCAGACAAUUAGACUAUUGGAAUAAUGUUACUCUGUAGCUAAUCAAAUAAAGACUUGAAGAAGAUGAUAUUAUUCUCCAAAGAAGAUGUCAGGGGAAGGAAAAGCCGAUUAGAUAUUCCGUAUUUAGAGUUAGCCGGCUCAUGUAGACAAAUUCACGAUGAAGAAAACUGAUUAUGCCAAACAUUUCCGAAAUAAGGAAAAUCAAAUAAACAUUUUUAGAGCUUUCUGGACAAAUCCACAGUGGUGUAAAUGAUCACAUAAGCAUGAAAGCAACCCGAGUUAAUUUAGAAAAGAAUAAAACAUGAAACUAUAUUAGAAGAUCGGCUCAAAUCGAUAAAGUUUCACUUACGCAAAUAAACUGAUGAUAAACAAGAAGAUUGAUAAUCUUGACAAUGAGUAGGCAAAACAUCAAAGUUAGACAUGGUCAAGACUUUAAACCAACUUGAACAAGGAAACAAAUCGGUGAAGAAAUAAGAACUUAGAUCAUGGAAAAACUCUCGGCAACAAAUCCUAACAAAAACAAACUUAAAUACUUCUCGAUAGAUGAUUGAUAUAUUAGCAAUAUGAAAGCUCUCAAACUAUUUUAAAAUGAAAGCUAAAGAACAACUGGAUAUAUGGAUUCAUAUUGAUCAAUACAGAAAGAACCAAGAAGAGUCAGUAUAUGUAUAUUUCACAUUCUUGAAGUUAAUAGCUAAUUAUCAUGAAAGAUCAGCAACAAACCAUAUAUCAAAGUCGAGGAUUGCAGACAAGCUUAACAUACAACAAAGGUGAAAACUCGAAAUUGAGUGAGAGUCGAGCAAGGACAAACAAACCAAUUACAUGACUUCUAAAACGGAAAAUAGAGGGAGGGUAUUACCUUUUUCCGGGCAGCGUACUGAGACUAUGAGCCUGACCGUGAAGCUUUUAAACCACACUUGAGCAAGAAGAGAAUCGAUAAAAAAAUAGCUCUCGAUUUAAAAAUAAAUUUCUAUUUUUUGAAUGUAAAAAUCUUUUGUCCCCAACCUCUCAACUCUUAAACUUAUAAGACUUGUAUUUCUUAAAAAAGACUUUAUGUGUUUUUCCCCCUCCUUCUUUUUUCAGUGAACAGGGGUAUUUAUAGGCCGAAUUUGGGAUUUAAAAAGGGGGGGAAACGGGUUGAAAAGAUUGGAUGAUUUUCAAAUUCGAAAUUCAAAAAUGUCUUCUCAAGAGAUAAGGUUGCCAGAUUUCCGCGAUUUGGUGGGAUUUUCGCGUGAAGAAGAUGAUAUAGGGGUCGUAGGGUAUGGCUGCUUUUUUUGGAUUUGCUGGGAUUCACUACGCUGGACUGUUGUUCGUUUCUGGGUUUCUUUGCGUUUCAAGGGGAAGAAGACAUGGGUGGGGUCGGGUUUUGGUAUUGUAUGCGUAUUGUUGUACGCUGUUGUUGUUGGAACUUGUUGGAAUGGGUAUUGAAAUGGGUUUAUGUAUGGAGAAUGGGUUGUUGGGUUGGAAUUGGUGUUAUGGGCUGCUGGUUAAAGGAAAUUAAACUUGGGCCGUUGACAAAUGAAAAAGGGGCCCAAAUUUGGUCUUGCAAAGGGGUUGAAGAAAUUGGUAAGGAAGUGGCUAUAAUUGCAAUUACAAGGGAUUAGAAUUAGAACCAAUUGGAGUAAAAAACUUAGCCGAUUUGAAUUUAAUUGGUGAAUUCGGCCAAAAGUUAAAUAAGAUGAAUUAGUAUUAAUUAAUGAGCUUCUUAAUCUUAACCAAAUAAAAUAAUUGAUUUUUCAAAUAUUAACUAUUAAUUAAUUAAACUAAUUGGCAAAAUUUAAAGCAAAACUAAAACCUUUUUGAGACGAUUUUCAAAUAAAAAUAUACUAAUUAUAUACAUAACUAUAAAAACAUAUUUAUUUAUUUUUUAAAAUUUAUAAAAAUUGACAAAACUUACAUAAAAAUAACUCGAAAAAUAUUUCGAAUUUCAUAAAAGCUAAUUAAUUCAAAAUUAUAGCCAUCACUUUAAAAUACACUAAAAAUAUAAAAUCUUUUGACAUGUUUUUGGGAUAUUUAUAGGAUAUACUUAUUUCAUACAUAAUUAUAUAAAACAUAUAUAUUAUUUAAAAUUAUAAAAAGUGAUAAACUAUUUAAAAACUUGCAAAAUAUUUUUAUUUUAUUUUUAAAAAAUUUAUGAAACUAAUUAUUUUAAAUCAUUUGAAAUAGAAGAAGCUCGAUGAUUAAUCUAUAAAGCAUGUGAUAUUUUAUAAGAAAUAAAGUAUGUCGAACAAGUCGCAGGAUUGGUUCUCUCACACGAGCAAUCACCUUUUACGUCGAGGAACGUGAAGAGAUGAGUUUCACCACCAUAUUAUGACUUGUUUUAUGAGCCAGCCAAAUAUUUCUCUAAGAAGAUGAGUUUAAGGAUUACUGAAAAAGAGAAACUAGGGUUAAAUAUCUUGAGGUGUUUAGAUCGAGGUCUGUACGAUGUUGGAUAAUCGGAAGGAUGAGACUCAUACACCAGUAUAAGGUGAAAACAUCGUAACACGUGUUUCAUACCACGUGUGUCAAGCGAUCAAUGGGUCAAUGAAAGAAUAUUCCCAGCUUCUUCAUUGUGUGAGACCCAGAAAAGUUAAAUUGACUUUUCAAUGAAAUACCCUUUGACCUUUUGCUAUUUUUGAAGUUUCAAUCGAUGUUGCUACUUUAGCAUGUUACUAAUACGCACGAAUGAUUCAGCAAUGCAGUGCAUGUCUAGGAAAGCAGUUAAUAGGAGCAGAUAAAUUCGAGUAGAAAGGAAAGAAAAAUAAAUGAAUAAUAAACUUAUAUACACAAGCCGGCUAUUGCACUAACCAUAUUGGUAUUGAGUGUGAUUGUGUGUAUAAAGUUAAAUAUGAACUCGAGUUAAUAUCCUUGAGAGGAUGAGGGAUCAAAUAAGUAACUACUGAAGUAGUGAAUGACGUCUGGGGUAUUGUGAGUAAUAGUAUUCUUAUAUAAGUAGUGAAUUCAUUCCAGAUGUGAUUGGAUUCCUAUGUGGGGCUUGUAAAACCUUAAGGGUAAGCUCUUGAUGCUCACAUGUCGCACGAACUAUUUAUCAUAUGAAUUGUGUGUCUAGUUGAUGUUGUGUUGGCUUGGGUCCUGUCCACCAUGUGCGAAGUGGGAGAUGUAUGUUUUGGAUCAUGGAUCGCCCAUGUGGAUCGACCCGACCCGAAAUGUUAUCUGUAAAAAGGAGAUAAGUCUUAAUUUAAAAAUAGGGGUGGGAACAGUUACUAUGGAACGGCUCCAACAUACACAAACCUUUAUUUUUAAAUAGAGAAACUUUACGCUCUGGAGACAGAAGAAGAAAAAUAGAGAAAAACUAAACACUCUGAACACAAAUAUUUCUAAGAAAAAGACACUAACAAAAGAUAUUUAGUUUGUGAAUCAUUUACCUUGUUUCCUUGAGAUUCAAGUUUGGCUUGGAGCAAUUCUUCAAAGAAAAGGAUUUCGUCAAUUUUUCGCUGCAAAAGAUAAGGUAUACAAUUCGUCAAUUUCUUUCUAUAGAUCCAACAAUAACAUCCACCUUGUUUGCGAUGAAAUCUAUGCUGGCACCG
rnacentral:lncRNA from 1 species